CAUCAAGAGUGGCGGAGGGAUCGGCCCCUUGAAGCCCGGCAACCAGCUCGAACGCGGCAUAGCGAACGAGAUAUGGUGCCAAAUCCGACGAGCGCUAUGCGCUUGAGAGAUGAGA
rnacentral:ncRNA from 1 species